GAUGAACGCUGGCGGCGUGCCUAAUACAUGCAAGUCGAGCGAACAGACGAGGAGCUUGCUCCUCUGACGUUAGCGGCGGACGGGUGAGUAACACGUGGAUAACCUACCUAUAAGACUGGGAUAACUUCGGGAAACCGGAGCUAAUACCGGAUAAUAUAUUGAACCGCAUGGUUCAAUAGUGAAAGACGGUUUUGCUGUCACUUAUAGAUGGAUCCGCGCCGCAUUAGCUAGUUGGUAAGGUAACGGCUUACCAAGGCAACGAUGCGUAGCCGACCUGAGAGGGUGAUCCGCCACACUGGAACUGAGACACGGUCCAGACUCCUGCGGGAGGCAGCAGUAGGGAAUCUUCCGCAAUGGGCGAAAGCCUGACGGAGCAACGCCGCGUGAGUGAUGAAGGUCUUCGGAUCGUAAAACUCUGUUAUUAGGGAAGAACAAAUGUGUAAGUAACUAUGCACGUCUUGACGGUACCUAAUCAGAAAGCCCCGGCUAACUACGUG
rnacentral:rRNA from 1 species